UACGGAGGGUGCAAGCGUUAUCCGGAUUCACUGGGUUUAAAGGGUGCGUAGGAGGGCAGGUAAGUCAGUGGUGAAAUCUCCAAGCUUAACUUGGAAACUGCCGUUGACUACUAUCUGCCUUGAAUAUUGUGGAGGUGAGCUGGAAUAUGGUCAUGUAGGCGUGAAAUGCUUAGAUGAUGAACAUAGUAACACCAAUUGCGAAGGCAGCACACUAACAUCAAUCAUUGACUUCUGAGGCACGAAAAGCCGUGGG
rnacentral:rRNA from 1 species